AGUUGCUAACGCGUGAAGGCGAGCACUCUAGACGAACUGCCGUUGACAAAACGGAGGAAGUGGGGAUGACGUCAAAUCAUCAUGCCCCUUAUGUUCUGGGCUACACACGUGCUACAAUGGCCGGUACAGACGGACGCAAAGCCGCGAGGUGGAGCAAAUCCUAAAAAGCCGGUCUCAGUUCGGAUUGCAGGCUGCAAUUCGCCUGCAUGAAGUCGGAAUCGCUAGUAAUCGCAGGUCAGCAUACUGCGGUGAAUACGUUCCCGGGCCUU
rnacentral:rRNA from 1 species